rnacentral:rRNA from 1 species
AUGGACCUUUCAAGCAACAGCCUCGUUGGUAACGUCCCACACCAGCUCUGCAGGCUCCUCCUCAUUGGCAAUCUAGAUUUGUCCAACAAUCUGCUCACCGGGGAGCUCCCGGACUGCUGGUGUAACCUCCACUCUCUGGCGUUCAUGGACCUGUCGAACAACCGGCUCACGGGGAAGCUCCCGAACUGCUGGUGGAACCUCAAGGAUCUGCAGUUCAUGGAUCUAUCAAACAACUCCUUCUCAGGUAAAAUUCCCGUGGCUGUGGCAACCCACCACUGCUCUCUUAGGUCUCUUUACCUUGCCGGAAAUGGCUUCAUUGGUGCCUUCCCGCCUGUUCUAGAGGGUUGCAACUCGCUGGACACCUUGGACAUGGGGAAUAACAAGUUCUUUGGUGUUGUCCCUCCAUGGAUCGGGACUCACAUCCCAUUGUUGAGAAUCCUUAGCCUCAAAUCAAACAAUUUCACUGGAGAAAUUCCUCUAGAGUUAUCACGCCUUUCAGAACUUCAGCUGCUGGACAUUUCAAACAAUAGCUUGACCGGCUCGAUUCCGCUAGCCUUCGGCAGCUUGACCUCCAUGAAGCAUCCACAAAAUCUAUCGACUACGGAACUGCCCAACGAGUGGAAAUACUAUGAUAGAAUCGACAUAAUCUGGAAGGGCCAUGAGCAGAAAUUUGGAAAAGCGAUCCAGUUAUUAACCGGUAUUGAUUUGUCGGGCAAUUUGUUGUCUCGGUGCAUUCCUGAAGAGCUAGCCAACCUUCAGGGCAUCCAAUUUCUAAAUCUGUCGACAAACCAUCUAUCAUGUAGCAUUCCUGAAAACAUUGGUAGUUUGACUUUUCUCGAGUCCCUUGAUCUAUCAUCUAAUGGACUUACAGGAGCCAUUCCGUCGAGCAUCUCGAGCGUACCGUGGCUCACCACGUUGAAUGUCUCGAACAAUCUUUUAUCGGGCAAGAUACCCACCAGGAAUCAGCUUCGGACCCUGACUGACCCAUCAAUUUACUCCAACAAUUCUGGGCUCUGUGGAUUUCCUCUAAACAUUUCAUGUACGAAUACUUCGCUUGCACCAGAUGAGAGAAAUGGUGGAGAGGAGGACCACUGGAUGUACUACUGUGUGAUUGCCGGGAUUGUGUCUGGUCUCUGGUUGUGGUUUGGGAUGCUCUUUACAGUUAAGUCCUGGAGGCGUGGUUUUCUUUCCUUUGUUGAUGGCAUGCAAUGUAGAAUUAUGAAAAAGUUGUGA